rnacentral:rRNA from 1 species
GACGAACGCUGGCGGCGUGCUUAACACAUGCAAGUCGUACGGUAAGGCCCUUUCGGGGGUACACGAGUGGCGAACGGGGGAGUAACACGGGAGUAACCUGCCCACAACUUUGGGAUAACGCUAGGAAACUGGUGCUAAUACUGGAUAUGUGCUCCUGCUGCAUGGUGGGGGUUGGAAAGCUCCGGCGGUUGUGGAUGGACUCGCGGCCUAUCAGCUUGUUGGUGGGGUAGUGGCCUACCAAGGCGGCGACGGGUAGCCGGCCUGAGAGGGUGACCGGCCACAUUGGGACUGAGAUACGGCCCAGACUCCUACGGGAGGCAGCAGUGGGGAAUAUUGCACAAUGGGCGCCAGCCUGAUGCAGCAACGCCGCGUGCGGGAUGACGGCCUUCGGGUUGUAAACCGCUUUCAGCAGGGACGAAGCUUUUUGUGACGGUACCUGCAGAAGAAGCACCGGCUAACUACGUG